AACGAACGCUGGCGGCAGGCUUAACACAUGCAAGUCGAACGCACUCUUCGGAGUGAGUGGCAGACGGGUGAGUAACGCGUGGGAAUCUACCCAGCCCUUCGGAAUAGCUCCGGGAAACUGGAAUUAAUACCGAGUACGCCCUACGGGGGAAAGAUUUAUCGGGGUUGGAUGAGCCCGCGUUGGAUUAGCUAGUUGGUGGGGUAAUGGCCUACCAAGGCGACGAUCCAUAGCUGGUCUGAGAGGAUGAUCAGCCACACUGGGACUGAGACACGGCCCAGACUCCUACGGGAGGCAGCAGUGGGGAAUAUGGACAAUGGGCGAAAGCCUGAUCCAGCCAUGCCGCGUGAGUGAUGAAGGCCUUA
rnacentral:rRNA from 1 species